CUGCCAUGCUUCCUGCCUUUAUGAUAAUGGACCUGUAAGGUAGCCCCAAAUAAGCAUUGUCCUUUAAAAGAGUCUACCUGGUAAUGGUGCCUCUUUACAGCAAUGGAAACCCUGACUUAGACAGAAGUUGGCCCCAGGAAUGGGGUAUUUUGUGAGUGACUACGAUUGAGAAAUGAAGGUCAUACCUGUGAUCCAGAUCACGAGGCUGAAAGACACAUGCUUUUCAUACUGAUCUUGAGGAAUAAUGGCCAUGAAGAGUUUUGGCCCAGGCAUGGUGGUAUACAUCUUUAAUUCCAGGAGACAGGGACAAGCAAAUCUUUCAAUUCAAGGCCAGCCUGGGACAGACAAAAUUCUACAUAAAGAAAAACUUAAGUCCAAGUAUGAUGGUAUCUGCCUUUGAACGCAGAAUUCAGGAGACCCAUGCAGAUCUCUGACUUCAAGGUCAACCUACAUAGCAAAAUGUCAGCCAGCCAAGCUUAAACAGUGAAGGAGUUGGAAAACAGAAAGCUUAUAUAUAAUAAUGUAGUAGAAAUAGUUGGGUUUAUUCCAAGUCUAGCAAGCAGCAGAACUCAGUAGGUUCAGCCAUGUAGCUCUGGCUUUAGGAUUAAAAAAAAUAAAAGAAAAUACUGGGAAAAUUGAUGAUGGUUAGCUGGAAUUAAGAAAUUAUUUGGUGAUUAAAAAGAGAGCAGGAUUACUGAAGGGAUAUCUUGGAAUUGUUUCCUGAAAGCACAAAGAAACUGACACUGAGAUAGCCAAGAUUGUACUUUCUGCAGCAGCUGGAUUUGAUAAUGUGUAUGAAUCAACCAGGUUAAACUGGUUUUGAAGGUAUGAGAGGUUCAUGGAAAUCAACUGAGGCUUGGAAUUAUGAGCGAGACCAGAGAAAGCCACUGGCGAAGGUACAGCCUUGUUUAUAAUUGAAGACCCAGGACUGAAGAGGUCAUGCGAAGAAGUUGAGGUUUGGCACACACACACACAAAGAAUCUAUGAGAUACUAUUGUAGUAUCUAGUAAAGUCUCGUUGCAGCAGAAACUCUCAGUGUAUUGGAUAUUCUAGUACCAUAGAAUGAUCACCCAGAACAGCGGCAGCAGUGAAGUGGAGUUCCCCAGAGCCUAGAGCUCUACAGAUGUAAAGCUGUGACGCAAGCCUGUUGGAGCAUCUUAGAAGAGCAUAUGUGGAUCCCAGAAAUUGGAACAAGAAGCUGUAACACUGAGUUUCCUUUGAGAAAAGAUGUUUGAGAUGUCACAGCCAUGGUAUAUAUUCUGAGGAAAGCUGCUAACUGUGGAAAACUACAUUGAAUUGUGAUGCAGUCAACAAAGCAUAAAGGAACUGGUCAUUAGACAUGGGGAUACUGAGUUUGGAGUUUGCCUAGCUGGUUUUUGACCUUGUUUUGGGCCAGCAUUUUCUCACAAUGGAAUUUUGGAAUGGUAUUGUAUAUCUUAUGAUAGAGAAGUUA